GACACGAUAGCUCAAUUGGUAGAGCAGCGGCCUAUUGAGCCGAAAGUCGUGGGUUCGAAUCCCGCUCGUGACA
rnacentral:tRNA from 1 species